rnacentral:rRNA from 1 species
UACAGAGGUCUCAACCGUUGUUCGGAUUCAUUGGGCGUAAAGGGCGCGUAGGCGGCCUGCUAAGUCGGAUGUGAAAUCCCUCGGCUCAACCGAGGAACUGCAUCCGAUACUGGCGGGCUUGAAUCCGGGAGAGGGAUGUGGAAUUCCAGGUGUAGCGGUGAAAUGCGUAGAUAUCUGGAAGGAACACCAGUGGCGAAGGCGACUUCCUGGCCUGUUCUUGACGCUGAGGCGCGAAAGCUAGGGGAGCAAACGGGGAUUAAGAAACCCCAAGGUAACGUCC